UUACUACCUCCCUUUUCUCUUCAAGAAAGACUGCUACUUUCAUCAAACCUGUGUUCUCAAACAAAAAUUGAAGUUAGAAAGAAAUAAGAAUAAAAAAGAAAAUAUACCGAUAAAUAGUACCUCAUGUUCCAAGAGAAGUAAAAACUUCUAAAUUUAGCAAGCUUGCUAAGAAUUAAUACAACCUGCAAAAUAUUAUAAAAAUUUUGUUCAAACUUAUAGCGCAUUAGUACAAUAUCAAUCAAACAACAUUUUCUAAUUUAAAUAAUACCUUUACUACUGAAAUUUCUUCAUGCUUGUAAAUAUCAAUAUUGAUCCAAUUUCAAGAAGCUGAAUCUCCCAUCUUUUAUCCUCGUCCAGCUUAAAUGGCUUGUGAGUUGUACAUUACAAAAAUUCACUCAACCUUUCCAAACCAAACCAAACUCUAUGCCUUACAUUUAUAGUAAGUUCUACAUUACAAAAUUUUCACUUGGCACAACCCAUAUAGAGACACAUACAAAGACAUAUCUAUACAUAUUCAAAAGGGUGCUCCAAGUGUAAAAUUAUCUCUCAACAAAAGUACAAAAUAAACUAGAAUAUUAAAUACAAAAUAUAACAAAUACACUAAAUAGAUACACGAAAAAACUCAUUCAAAAUGCAUAUCACAAUAAGUAGGACAUCAACCACCAACGAAACAUAAUAAUAAAAACAUCCAAACAUAUAUAACAAAAGAAAAAAACAACACAAAAAAAUUACAAUGACAUUCAACGAAACAUCACAUUCACAAACAAAAUCAACAUUCAUCAAAAAAAUUAUAAUAGUCCAACAAAACAUUACAUUCGAAACAAAUAUUACAAUAUUCCGACAAAACAUCACACAAUAACAAAAAAAUAACACAUAUAUAACACAUUCAUCAAGCAAGACCAAUAGAAAAAAUUACAAUAUUCCAAUUAAAGUUUAAUAACUAUCGGUGAACAUAUAUAACACAUUUUAUAUAAUAUAUAUAUAAUAUAAUGUGUAUCUAUACAUACAUAUGUAUAUUACGUAUAUAAUAUAAUAUAUAUUAUAAUACUUAUUAUACAGAUAUACAUGUGUAUAAUACACAUGUAUAUUAUGUAUAUUACAUAAUAAUAUAAUAUAAUUAUAUCA
rnacentral:lncRNA from 1 species